AUAAUAAACAGAAUAUUCGGUUUUGGUGGAGAUCAGCCACCAAAGGUAACGGGGAAAGUUCGGUGGAAAUCCGGCACUGUCCCGCAACUGUGAAGGAAAGACAAAAAACUGAAAAUUAACUUUCCAAGUCAGGAUGCCCGCCGAAGUAUACUAAUAAGU
rnacentral:ncRNA from 2 species